GAUAAACGCUGGCGGCGCACAUAAGACAUGCAAGUCGAACGGACUUAACCAUUAGUUUACUAUUGGAGCGGUUAGUGGCGGACUGGUGAGUAACGCGUAAGCAAUCUGCCUUUAAGCGGGGGAUAACUACCGGAAACAGCAGCUAAUACCCCAUAGUAAGGAUUUAGGCAUCUAUUUCCUUUUAAAGACGCGUUUGCGUCACUUAUUGAUGGGCUUAUGGUGUAUUAGCUAGUUGGUGGGGUAACUGCUCACCAAGGCGAUGAUACAUAGCCGGCCUGAGAGGGUGAACGGCCACAUUGGGACUGAGACACGGCCCAG
rnacentral:rRNA from 1 species